rnacentral:rRNA from 1 species
GCGGCGGAGGGGAGAGUAACACGUAGGCAACCUGCCCCUUGGACUGGGAUAACUACCGGAAACGGUAUCUAAUACCGGAUAAUUCCUCUUAUCUCCUGCUAAGAGGCUGAAAGGCGGAGCAAUCUGUCACCAAGGGAUGGGCCUGCGGCGCAUUAUCUAGUUGGUGGGGUAACGGCUCACCAAGGCGACGAUGCGUAGCCCACCUGAGAGGGUGAACGGCCACACUGGGACUGAGACACGGCCCACACUCCUACGGGAGGCAGCAGUAGGGAAUCUUCCGCAAUGGGCGAAAGCCUGACAGAGCAACGCCGCGUGAGUGAUGAAGGUUUUCGGAUCGUAAAGCUCUGUUGCCAGGGAAGAACGUCUUUUAGAGUAACUGCUAAAAAAGUGACGGUACCUGAGAAAAAAGCCCCGGCUAACUACGUGCCAGCACCCGCGGUAAUACAUAGGGGGCAAGCGUUGUCCGGAAUUAUUGGGCGUAAAGCGCGCGCACGCGGCUGUUUAAGUCUGGUGUUUAAACCAUGGGCUCAACCUGUGGUCGCACUGGAAACUGGGCAGCUUGAGUGCAGAAAAGGAAAGUGGAAUUCCACGUGUAGCGGUGAAAUGCGUAGAGAUGUGGAGGAACACCAGUGGCGAAGGCGACUUUCUGGGCUGUAACUGACGCUGAGGCGCGAAAGCGUGGGGAGCAAACAGGAUUAGAUACCCUGGUAUUCCACGCCGAAAACGAUGAGUGCUAUGUGUUAGGGUUUCGAUACCCCU